rnacentral:misc_RNA from 1 species
CCCCCCCCCCCCAAAAAAACAAAAACAACAACAACCAAAAAACAACAAACCUCUUCACUCUUUUCAUGUUUUGUAUUAACUAAAAUAUAAUCCUAUCUCUACUGCAAUUACAUGCAUGUAUACUUUCGGUAAAAUAAUAUAUAUGAGCGUUUUGCGUGUGUUUGUUAUCAGUAAGCGAUUAUGCCCAUUUGUAAGCAGAGUGUUCAGCAAUGGACGCUUAAUUUGUAAAAAAAAAAAAAAAAAAAAAAAUUAGAUAAAAGUUUCGAUUCAAAUCACUUGUUUAUUUUGUAAAAAACUUUCUGAUUUACCGAUAUAAAGUUAGUGAGCGACUAUGUAAUGGCUUGAUUUUUGAAAGUUUAAAGGAAAAAGAGUAAUCGCUGGAACGUAUACUGGGUACGGUAGCUUACAUGUAGCUUGCACAUCAUUGUAUUCCCAAUGCAACCUGAAACUUGAUAUGGCAAAUGACAUAAUAUUUUCAAAUUUUGUCUUUGAACUUAUUUUAUGGAAAUUAUCCGGAUUUAGCUAAUCGCCGCACCUGAAAUCCACUUGUAUAUGUCACGGUAAGGUUGCACCUCUCUCUCUCUCUCUCUCUCUCUCUCUCUCUCAUAAAGUAUUUACGCUCAGUAAAUUUUAGUACAUGUACCCUUAAGGGUUAACCACUGGACAUUUAUCUCCAAUAUUUUGCCAUAUUUAAUAACCAGUAUACGUCCAUAUCGCAAUAAGAGGCAGAUGAGCCAAAUGCCUCACAUUUGAAAUGACGAUCAACUUUUUUAACAAGUGUUUUUUUAUAUAUCAGAAUUCAGAGGAACUCACCAAAUGUACAUUCAUGAAAAAAUAAAUUCAAAAACAGAAAUGUAUAUAAUGUCUUCAAUAUGCCAACAUGUUCAAUCUUGAACCAAAAUGAAACCCACCGACUCUCAUAUCGACCUAAAAUUGUCAAGCUGAUACCCUUUCUAUAUCUUUGGAGGUGCUCCUUGAAUUUAAAGAUGAACUAUCCAAAUUGACGAAUCUGUUCUCUGAAGAAGAGAGCGAGAUAUUGAAAUCCCACCUGUAUGUUCGAGGCUACAAAGCUCACAUAAAGCAAAAGGCAAUUUAUGAGAUAAUCACAAAAAAACAGGGAAACCCUUUUGCAAUACAUAUACAUGUACAUGUAACCAUAUAGAACCAGGCUUUUUAGGUUGAGUGUUCAAUACCACCAAAACACAAAAUGCAGGUUGUGGUUGUUCUAAAUAAAUCGUUUAUUUUC